rnacentral:rRNA from 1 species
AUUGAACGCUAGCGGCAUGCUUAACACAUGCAAGUCGAACGGUAGCAGUACUAGCUUGCUAGUAGCUGACGAGUGGCGGACGGGUGAGUAACGCGUGGGAAUCUAACUUGAAGAGGGGGAUAACUUGGGGAAACCCAAGCUAAUACCGCAUAGACCCGUAAGGGGAAAGCAGGGGACCGAAAGGCCUUGCGCUUGAAGAUGAGCCCGCGUCGGAUUAGCUAGUUGGUGGGGUAAAGGCCUACCAAGGCGUAGAUCCGUAGCUGGUCUGAGAGGACGACCAGCCACACUGGGACUGAGACACGGCCCAGACUCCUACGGGAGGCAGCAGUGGGGAAUAUUGGACAAUGGGCGCAAGCCUGAUCCAGCAAUGCCGCGUGUGUGAAGAAGGCCUGCGGGUUGUAAAGCACUUUCAGUUGGGAGGAAGGCAUUAUUUUGAAUAGAGAUGAUGUUUGACGUUACCGACAGAAGAAGCACCGGCUAACUCUGUGCCAGCAGCCGCCGUAA